rnacentral:lncRNA from 1 species
AAGUAGAAGCUGAAGCCGAGAAGGUUGAGGAGCCGGCUUCCGCCGUCGCUGUUGAGGAGCCAGUUUCCGCUGCCGCAGCCGUGGAGGAAACGGCACCGGAACCCGAAUCUGAGCCGGCUGUUGCUGAGGAGCCAGCUGCUGCUCCAGCUGAAGAACCAGUUGCAGAAGCUGUGGCGGAGCCAGUUGAGGAGCCAGCUGCAACAGAGGCAGAAGUUAUUGUGGAUAAGACUGAGGCCUGAAGAACUCGGUCGGGUAUUGGAUUAAUAUAUGGGGGGUUAUGUUUUUAGUAUGAAGAAGAUUAUCUCUGUUACUGUUUUUUGUUCUUUCUUUACUGGUUUAAGAAGUUUGGUGUGUUCUGGUGAUGGAUAGUAAUGUAUGGGGGAUGUGUUGUGGGUCCACGUAAGCAUUUUGUGGCGCCAUGUGGGUUUACAUAAUUGGGUGAGUUUCAAGAUUAAUUUUAUAUAAUUUGAUGAAACUUUGAUUUAUAUUACUAUACUUGGUAUGUGUUUUGUU